UUUGGGUCCUUUCUUUCCUUCUGCGUGUGGAACCCAAAUACUUGUGGGCUUGUGUCUGUUUCUCCUCUCCAAUGUGUUCAACUGCUGGAACCGAGAGACAAAAUCUUGCUUCUUGCUCUUCUCCCACUGUGCAACAGGUUCAGUCUGAAGCUCCCACCACAAAGAUGAGACCCGUGGAUAAAUCUGCUUCAUCACAUGCAGAGAAGCUUUUCCAUUUUUGUAUCAUGGCUCAACUGAUGCUUGGAAUUCAAAUUUCCUUGCAAGAUUUAUUCACCUAAGCCACCUUUGCCUCUAAUUAACUCUUGCCUCUGGUUUAUUGUGUUGAACCAGUUGAUGAACAGGCUGAGGCAACACUGGGUUCUCAGAGAAGAUUUAACCACUCAAAAAGUCAGGUGUGGGGGGAUUUUCCAGUGUGCUGUGUAAUCUGGAAGUUGAAAGCUCCUUCAGAAAAGCCUGUGCUGCUUAACAAUAUCAGCAGUGAAUUUGGCACACACAUGCUAUUAGGCAUUUACUUGUCAUGUUUUACCAGGUUUUAAAGCUAUAUGCAGGGAUUUAAGAGGAAAAUGGCCUUCUGGAGUGCUAGGAAUUAAGUGCUUGUGUUGAAUUAGUUAAAAGCGAAGGAUCUGCUUUCCUGUUGCUCUGCAUUUGUGUGGCUCUUUAGACCAAUACUGUCUCAAAGCAAACCACCUAUAAAAUGUUACUGAAUAAAGUUACUAAUGUUUAUUUCCUUUUCAUGCUGAUAUAAAUUAUCCUUCAGUGCCAAGGGUAAUGAAGUAGCAACCCAUGAAUUAUAAACAGGAGGAGAAUGCAAACCUAUUUUUCCUGUGUGCAUUUAUUCAAGCCAUGUCACAGUUACUUCUUAGGAUCUCCUGAGAUGUGGUUGUGUCCCCAUAGUCUCUCUUAGGCAGGUUGUGUUUUUCCCAUGAUAGAGGUGGGACUUGAGAUACCAGGAGGUUAAAUGACUUACCUGACAUGACACAGUCUGGGGCAAAACUGAGAGCUGAACUGAACUUGUUUGCUGUUCAGCACCUCAAUCACAAAAUGAUCUUGUAGAAUAACUUUGCCAGGGAGCUGUGAAAAACAAAGCAGAAGGGAUUAAUACUCAUAUCCAGGAUAAGGUCUCUAUUCCUGCAUGCCCAUGGCUAAAAAGCUGGCCUGUAGGAAUAUCUCCCUGUAUCUCAUAACUAAAGCUGCUGUCACAGCUUUUGCCAAUAUUUCAACUUCAGUCUAUAUUUGAACUGUAACUUUGUUAGGGAAGCAAGAAUGUUGUACGUCAAAAUCUGACAUGGAAAUCCAAGCCAAAACACCAUAUCUCUUUAAUAGAUGUAAAUAUUUACGUUUAAGUGACCCUGUAGAACAAUGUCACUUUAAGGAAAUCAUGUUUCAAAUGCUCCCGAAUAGAGAUUAGGUGUUUCUGUCCUCCUUAUGUUGCUAUGAUUUACUAUUCAGUGCUCAUGUUAAUGAAGUAUUAACCCAUGAAGUGUGAGUAGGAUGGAAGU